rnacentral:tRNA from 3 species
GGGAAGUUAGCUCAGUUGGUUUAGAGCACCGCCUUGACAGGGCGGGGGUCGCAGGUUCGAGUCCUGUACUUCCCACCA